rnacentral:rRNA from 1 species
UACGUAGGGUGCGAGCGUUGUCCGGAAUUAUUGGGCGUAAAGGGCUCGUAGGCGGUCUGUCACGUCGGGAGUGAAAACUCAGGGCUUAACCCCAGAACUGCUUCCGAUACGGGCAGACUAGAGGUAGGUAGGGGAGAAUGGAAUUCCUGGUGUAGCGGUGAAAUGCGUAGAUAUCGGGAGGAACAUCAGUGGCGAAGGCGGCCCUCUGGUCCAGUACUGACACUCAAGUGCGAAAGCGUGGGGAGCAAACAGG